GACGAACGCUGGCGGCGUGCUUAACACAUGCAAGUCGAACGAAGUGGCGAACGGGUGAGUAACGCGUAAUCAACCUGCCCUUCAGAGGGGGCCAACAGUUGGAAACGACUGCUAAUACCGAAUACUGCAGGAGGGGAUUGCGACUGAUUAGCUAGUUGGAGGGGUAACGGCCCACCAAGGCGAGGAUCAGUAGCCGGGCUGAGAGGAUGAACGGCCACAUUGGGACUGAGAACCGGCCCAGACUCCUAAGGGAGGCAGCAGUUGGGAAUCUUCCGCAAUGGACGAAAGUCUGACGGAGGAACGCCGCGUGAGUGAUGACGGCCUUCGGGUUGUAAAGCUCUGUUAAUCGGGACGCGGUACCGGAAUAGAAAGCCACGGCUAACUACGUGCCAGCCGCCGCGGUAAUAC
rnacentral:rRNA from 1 species